rnacentral:rRNA from 1 species
UACGAAGGGGGCUAGCGUUGCUCGGAAUCACUGGGCGUAAAGCGCACGUAGGCGGGUCCUUAAGUCAGGGGUGAAAUCCCGGAGCUCAACUCCGGAACUGCCUUUGAUACUGGGGAUCUUGAGUCCGGAAGAGGUGAGUGGAACUCCGAGUGUAGAGGUGAAAUUCGUAGAUAUUCGGAAGAACACCAGUGGCGAAGGCGGCUCACUGGUCCGGUACUGACGCUGAGGUGCGAAAGCUAGGGGAGCAAACGGG